AAAACUUUUAAUCUAGUCCAGAGAGGCUAGCAAGGUUGUGAACAAGAAAUAUUAUCCUUAAAAGUUACUGACAGAACUGUCAGUAAGUUGCUAAGGCAUUUUAGGACACAUCUGCUAGGUUUCUGGCAGAUGUUUUUGCUU
rfam:Lactococcus lactis subsp. lactis Il1403, complete genome.